UUCCAUUAGAGGUUAUUACAAGAUACUGAAUAUAGUUCCCUGGACCAUACAGUAGAUCUUCGAUAGCACCUGUAUUUUCAUCUACCAUUAGAAUUCGAAAGACAGGAGUUCCUGCUGUGGUGCAAUGGGAUGGGUGGUGUCUCUGCAGUGCUAGAAUGCAGGUUUGAUCCCUGGUCCAGCUCACUGGGUUAAAGGAUCUAGCUUUGCCCACAGCUGCCUCGGAGGUGGCAAGUGCAGCUUGGAUCUGAGCCCUGGCCCAUGAACUCCAUGUGCCACAGGGCAGCCAAAAAAAAAGGAUAUGACCCUAAAGACAGGGCGGCCAUCCUGGUUAUCUAAUUUACCAAUAGCUAGUCCUAUUUUAUCCUGGGCCCUCAUCAGUAAAACCAGAAUAAGAAGGAAGGAAUAAAAAAAUAAGUGAAAUCUGAGUAAGUGGUUUCUGACCAAAUUUUAGAAGAGUUGGUUUAAAUAAUCUGGCUGUGGAAAGAAUGGGUGAUUUCAAUCCAGCCUAUGCCAGAAUUGACUGACAUUGAAAUCGCAGGAAAGGAUGAUUUCUUGCCAAGGGAUCCUUGGGACGUUGCUAUUUUGAGCCAAGCAAAUAGCAGUUUAUAAAAGCCUCUAGGCUUCAAACAUAAUGACGGCAUGUGAAAACUGAGUAAAUAAUUGAGUUUGAUUUUCGAUGCCAAAGCAGUGUUGGAGAAUGUAAAAGUGAGGGGGCUUUUGGCCAGAUGCUUUCAAAGCUUUUCAUGGGUCCCUCAUGUCCAGGCAGCACUAUCUCUAGAUGCCUGGCCAUCAUCUCAACAAGAAAGAGGACCAUGGACCAUGAAGGGGCGAGUGAUGCCUGUGGCUGGGGGACAGCCUGAGCCAGCAGGACCCCAGCCAGUGACUGCUGAGGCCCCACUGACAGAGGUACCAGUCCUUCUCUGGCUGGAGGAGGAAGGUCACAGCUCUGGUGGGGAACCACUUCCCAGGACUAACUCCAUCCCGCAUGUCACAUCCCAUGCGGAGAAGUGGGCACGUAAUCCUUUCCUCCCGGGCUUGUCUAGGACUUUACAUCCACAAAUGGAGAAUGGGAGGUGGCAUUAAGAUAUGCUUACUCACUGAGUAUCUUGUGAGUCUAUUCUCUGAAUAAAAGCUCAUCAUUUAGAGGACAAAGGGCCUCUCUUUCUCCAUCUCCAGAAUUAAAAGCUAGUCCCAUAACAAGUGAACUCAGAUAAGAAGAGAGUUUGCUAGGAGCAUGCAGUGAUGGGCAGAGAGAAGAGAAAUGAGGUGAUUUCUGAAGAACUUGUUUCUUUUUAGCAUCUGAUAUGACCUGUGAGUCUUGGGCAAGGCUGUUGUUUUUGUUGUUGUUGUUGUUUUUCUACUUGCUGUGACUGGUAGCAAAUGUAGAGCCAUGGCUGUAAUUUACAUUUUGACAAUUUCUGCAAGACUUCCGGUAAAUGCUUCUGAAGACUAACUCAGUCUUCUAUUUCCUGCUUUUUCCUUUGUAGUUCUUUCUUUGUUCCUUUUCUGCUCUAAAGCAUGUCUGUUGCAAGAUGUCUUGAACCCUUUUCUGUUUUCAAUGAGCCUUGGAAAGCCUACGUAGAUGGGUGAGUGGAUGGAUGAAUGGACAGGCAGUCACAGAGACAGAAAGAUAAAUGAGGUGGAGAUAGUGACGGAGACUGAGCCAACAGGGGAAGGACACUACUCUUGCCUCCCUGUUGACAAGGGAGACUUUAAAAAACAGAAGGGUUUCUGUGGAAGGGGACUCAACUAAGGUUAGAAACACAUGGUCAAAAACUCUCUCUUGCCAAGGCUCAGGAUCAGUGUUCUUGACAAUUACAUAAAAGGAAAAUCAAAGAGUUUUUUAGUACAAUGGGAUAUCACUCAGCCAAAAAUAAUUGAAAUAAUGCCAUUUGCAGCAACACGGAUGAACCUGGAGAAGAUCACACUAAGUGAAGUAAGUCAGAGAAAGACAAACAUCGUAUGAUAUCACUUAUUCAUGGAAGUGAAAAAAUGUUACAAAUGAACUUAUUUACAAAAGAGAAACAGACUCAGACUUUGAAAACAAUCUUGUGGUCACCAAAGGGGAAAGGUGGUGGUGGGGGAGGAUAAAUCAGGAGGUUGAGAUUAACAGAUACACACUACUAUAUAUAAAACAGGCAAUUUGCAAGGACCUGCUGUAUAGCACAGGGAAUUCUACUCAAUAUUCAGUAAUAACCUAUACAAGAAAAGAAUCUGAAAACAAAUGGAUAUGUGUAUAUGUAUAAUUGAAUCAAUUUGCUUUACGCCUGGACCACAACAUUGUAAAUCAACUACACUCCAAUAGAAAAUAAAAAGUGAAAAAGAAACAGACAAACCAGGAGUUCCCACUGUGGUGCAGUGGGUUAAGGAUUCAGUGUUGUGUCCACGCAAGCAUGGGUUUGAUCCCAGAGCUGACUGACACACUGGUUAAGGAUCUGGUGUUGCCACAUCUGUGUAGAGGUGGAAGCUGCAGCUCAGAUUCAAGCCAUGGCCUGAGAACUCCCAUAUGCCAUGGGUGUGACCAAAAAAAAUUUUUAGAUAAAAAAUAAAUAGGAGUUCCCAUUGUGGCUCAACAGAAACGAAUCCGACUAGGAACCAUGAGUUUUUGAGGCACCAUUUUUCUUUAGUACCAGAGGCUACACAGGUAAAUUGCUACUCUAUUUCCAUAAUAUUUUCAUGGAAAAAAUUUACAUAAGGCAAACAGGACAAGAACAGUACUGAAUAGAAAAUUCAGCUUUCUGCUUCACUUUUUCCAGGUUCCUAGAGGUAUAGGGUCAAGAGAUGGAUUCAAAACACUUAACCCAUUGAGAACAUACCAUGGGUCCCCCCCUCACCCUGGUUUCAUAUCUUCAUCAAGGUCAGCCCUGGUCCUUGCACUGCCCUUUCUAGCCAGGUUGCUCAAAGUUUUCCUAUCGUCUCAUUAAUCUCUAGGAACCAGUAGGUUUUAAGUGCUCAUAAUUAGUUUUAUGUGUUUUUGCAGGCGUGUAAAGAAUGAGAGGAAAUGCAGGCACUGCCAGCGAAUCAAUGCCAGAUCACAGUGCAGUGAACAUGUCUUGCCCACCUCCCUGCAGGUCCCUUCCCCAUGAUGUCACUCCCCUCUUAAUGAUCAGCACCUGCCAAUUAGUCAAAUGCAACAAGAACCAUGCCAUCCACUAGGUGAAGCCCCCUGAGCAUCUUGCUAUGAAAGCCAGCACACAGGGAGGAAUUGUCAUGAGGUCACUCCUACAAGGAAGGUCUCACAAUUCCUGCCUUGCUUUUCUACCCCUGGAAGAAUACAAUUUGAACUUUAACUCAGGAAAAAUCACCUUUGUCUAUAGGAGUAUCUCUCCCUCUCCAGGGAAAAGAUGCACUCAGAUACUGAAACCAGACUGGCAGUUGAUGCGCCAGCACAUCCAGCUAUUUGAGCUGGGCUUUUAAUUCUGUCCGGGAACGCAUGUCUUUUGAAGUGACAACAAGUGACAAAAAGGUGUUGGGUCUGACUGAACAGAAGCUUGGAGUUGCUUUGGCGCCUUUCUGUCUUCCUCUCACAUUGAAACCCCCACCGUUUGAAUGUUGCUUUGCCGCUAGAGAGUUAGCACACACUGAUUUCAACAUCGAGAAGUUGUUUGCUAAUAGGAGCGAAGCGACUGAAGUUGAGUGGAGAUGAGUAGGGAGACAUGAUAAGAAUUCAUGCCCCGCAGCCCAGGAAAACCUGCUCUCACUGAACAGAAACACCUAGGAGAUGCUGUUCCCAGAUCUUCUCCUCCCCACCCCAUCUUCCUCACCUCCCUUGAUCAUCUCUCUUCUCAUGAACCAACUGCUUAUAUAUUUUCUCCAUCUUUGAAUAUGAAAGAGUUUUGGCUGCCUUUCUUCUCUGGUCUCUAGUUAUUUUUCAUCUUAUCUGAACCUAUUUUCAUUCCUGCCUCUUUUCCUUCUCUUAGGAGAUGGGAUUAUUUAAGACCCAAGUCCUUCCCCUCCCAUCCCCGGGAAGCGUUAUAGGGCUGGGCACAUCAAAACCUUUGAACUAAGUAGUUCUGCAUGUCCCCCUGCCAGUAAGCAAGUAAGUCCAAGAGACCAAAAAGUGACCCACAUAUUCACUGAAUGGGAAUAGAAAGUGGCUUGUUGAGUUUUCGACUAGCCCUGGAUUCUGAAGGAAACAAGAAUAAGCUCAUUGGUUCACUCACAAACUUUCUUUGCACCCAGCCCAGUGUUAAGUAUUAGUGACGCCAAGGUUCCUGAGAUGAGCCUUUGUUCUGCAGAAUUUGACAAUGUGGUGGGCAGGACAAAGGAGCUGAAUCCAACAGUGUCUCAUGCCUCUACUGCCUUGUAAGUGGCUCACUUUUCUCCUGAAGAUAAUGAUCUAGUUCUGGUAAUGCAAUAAACGUUUGAUGACAAUGAUGGCAAAAGAAAAAAAAUUCAACCCGCUUUAUUAUCUUCCUAAUGCUGCCAGGACAAGGGACUGGGGGAAAGCUGGAGAAACAGUGAUCUUAACAUAUCUACCAGUAUCCUGAUUUCACUAAUACAAUUGGUAUGGCUCAAUUUGUUAAAAUGCUGACACACGUCCCUCCUAGUAUGUAGAAAGCCAUUUCCUUGAGUGCCAUAGCUUGGACUGCUUUAUUGUCCUUGUCUCCAAAGCUUGACUGCCUGCCACCCCUGCCCCCUCCCCAGAACCUCUGAACCUCCCUAUGAUCCACAGACCAGGGAUUUCAGAAUCUUGCUCCACUGCUACAGGUGGGAUCCAUUCUGAGUGGACACUAUGUCCUAUUGGUUGUUAAACAUUGUUGUAAUCAUUCUUGUUUGUAUUGUUACUACAUACCGUAGAAGCAGAAAAAAAUAUGCAUGGCAAAUAAGGCCAAUGGUCCUUUGGAAAUUGGCAAGGGAAGGAAGGCUUUGACAGUGACUGGAAAUCAGAGAUACCAUAGUCACAACAUGAACAGCCCCUUAAGAAGACUCUGUUUCAUAAUGUGUUUGAGUUAACUUUAAUGACCCAUACUAAAGGUUCUGUAACUAGGUGGUGAUGAUGAUUGUACAACUAUAAAUAUAAUAAAAUUCACUGAAUUAUCAUUAAAAAGAUUGCUGAAGUCAUGGACUAAGCAAUGCUCUUAUCUCUACCGACCAAAGAAGCUAAUAAAUUCUAUUAAAAAACAUUUCUUACAGCAGAUUAUUAUUAUUAUUAUUAUUAUUAUUGGCUUCUUGGUCAUCAGAGUUGGUUCAAUCCUCCUUCCGGAAACUUUUUAAAAAUUAAUUUCUAGGAACACGUAUGCUAGAAUUCUUUGCCUUCGCGACAUGUUCACAUUCUGCAAAAACAUGAAAGAUAGGUUUCAGCAAAUGUACUCUCUACUUUCCUUAUUACUCAUGUUAAAUUAUAUCCUUUUACACUUUGAAAGAUACCUAAAUCCAAAGUUCUAGGAUAGGAUGAGGAAAAUACAUUUUAAACAAGGAUUUAAGUAUCUAUCAUACAUCAAGGAAUGUUCUAAGCACUUGGUACGCAUGAUUGAACGCUGACUGCAACCUACCUGAGAUGGGCAUUAAUUUCCCCAUUAUCAUGGAUGAGAACUUGGAGAUACGAGGUAUUAAAUUUUAUGUCUCCUUUAUAUCUGACCUCUGAAGCUGGGCACCCAUCCCAUCUUCUUGAAACUUUCUCCCCUUUUGUUAUUGGCACCACCUCUGGUUCUUCUCUCUCAUGGUUCAUGAGUUCCUUUUCAGGUACGUUCUAAAGUGUUGCUGGCCCUGGUGUUUUCUCCUCAGUACUUACUCCACUGUGGAUUCAGCUUCCCUCUGUGUGUUGAUAAGGCAAAUGCUGAUGGGAAUAAGAAGGAAUGGUCACCACUUCAUCCUUCCUUAACUCUUUUAGAACUGUUUUUAAAUACAUUCAUAUUUAUAUAUAUAGAUAGAUUGCUCAUUGAUAUAUAUGCAUAUCAAUGAAUUGAUCAUACAAUCAAUUCAUUGAUAUGCAUACAUAUCAAUGCCUAUGUCAUUGUUCUACUCAAUAUCCUCAAUAUCUUCACUUUCUAUAAAAUAAGGCCUGAAUUACUGAGAAAUAGGGAGUUGUCACUACCCUGUGCAGAUAGCGCAGACACCCAGGGGUGCUGAAUUCUGGCUUUGGGUGUGGAUUAGGCAAAGUGGCAAGUGACUGGUCAGCUCUUCCCUGAGAUGGCAGCGAUUCAGGCAAUGGGAGUCCACGGCAGUCUGUCCCAAAGAUGCUAGAAUGGGGUGCAGAGAGGAGCACUGGUAGGAAGACACACUCCAGGGAGAGGGAGGAUUCCAAGGAGAUGGAGACUGCACACAUUUUCUGAGCUUAAGAGACAGUGGUGAUCUGACACUUUAUCAGGAGGCCAUACCCCCACUCUCUACCAGGAAUGGAUAGAGAAGGAGUCUUUAAAAUAGAUGCAAACUAUUACAUUUAGAAUGGAUAAACAAUAAGGUCUUGCUAUAUAGCACAGGGAACUACGUCCAAUCUUCUGGGAUAGACCAUGAUGGGAAAAGAAUAUAAAAAUUCUUUUUAGGGCUGCACCCAUGGCACAUGGAGGUUCCCAGGCUAGGGGUCGAAUUGGAGCUGCAGCCGCUGGCCUACACCACAGCCACAGCAACGUGG
rnacentral:lncRNA from 1 species